CACAAUGAACCAUUAGACACGUGGAAGACUGAGAAGGAUCCUCGUCCGGGAGUGUUAUUUUAUUCUUAACUCUGUAAAUGGAUUAAAAUGAAACUCUGACUGAGGAGUUUACUUGUUGAAGAGCUUCAGUUCUCAUCACUCAAGACGUCCAUGGUAAAGAGAGAAUGACUUAUGAUUAUAUUAACAUUUAUUAUGAGAGGAUUCGUGGAUCACCAAAUAUAUUUGCGGGUAAUCUUUUUUUGUUAAUUAAAUAUAAUUCAACUGUAAAAAUAUGCAAUUAAUUCUUUACAGUCAGAAUAUAACCUGAUCCACUAUAACCUAAAACCGCUGUAUUAUUUAGUAAAGAUUAAUUUUGUGUGUGUUCCCUGUGUGAUAUUAAUUAUAAAUGUUGGUAGAUGUUCACAUCGUGCUUCUUUGAGGACAAUAAGAAGAUGUUGUGAUGUAAGAAACACGAGGUCUGAACAGCCAGAGACUAUUUAUUGCAUUAACUACACAAAUGAAUUCUCUCCACAAGUGAGUCUCAAUAAAAGAGAAAGAAGCGUUAAUUUAAGAUAUAAACAUUUUAAAAAGAAAAUAGAACAUGUGUGACUAACUGUACCAUCCGGGGGUCAGUGUAAAAUAGUAAACAGCAAAUAGUCACAAAAAUCAGCAGAAUUCCACCUCAAACAAAUCAGAGCAAAUAAAAUGUCUAAAACUCACACAAUACAAAAGCACAAGCAAGAUGGCUGCUCCAUAUGUUACAGCAGGAAGCCCACAAGAGAAUCAGACAUAGAAAGGCCCAACUGACUUAAUAAAAACACUAAUAGGUAAGAGGAAAGAAACAGUGGGUGUCUAAUGUGUUUAAAACAAAAACACAUUUAUAUUCAAAGAAAACAUUUACAAAACAUGUCAUGCAUUCAAGCAGAACGUCUGUCCGGCUUCAUCAUGAUCCCUUCCCCCAGUUCACAGUAAACGAAUUUUGGAAGGUAAUUAUUACCCAUGCAAAUCGUUUACAUUUUAUUGUUGUAUUAGUCAGCAAACAAAAUUUUUCAACAGUCACAACUGCAGCCUAAUAAAAUAUUUUGAAGUAAAGCUUACCUUCCCUGAAUAAGUAAUUGUUAAUAAGUCAUGUUGUUCAAUUUUUAAUAACAAUUAUUGGGUAUUAAGUGCUUACAAUCUAAAGUAUAUUUUAUGUGGCAAGCCCAUGCGUGGGUUUCCACGUCACUGUUCAAGAGCACAAGCCGGCCUCUGGGUAGUUCAACAGUUUAUUCAGAGUAAAUUGAUCGUGUAGGAGGAUAAGCUCAACACCACGUCACCGUGUCCAAGUCGUUCUCGUAGUCUUCUUCUACCACGUGGUACACAAACGGGUCCUCUUCCAAAGCAGUUCGGUACACGGGAGGGUUGUCAGCCAGUCCAGGUUAAUCCAGUUAAUCUUACACUCUUCUUUUUUUCUACUUUCUCUACUACGUCUCACUUGGUCUUGCUUUACUUUAAAUGUGGUGAAAUCUUCCCAAACAAACAUUGCAAAGCAAAUUGUUACCUCACAGUUAUUGAGUAGAUUCUAUAGGUUGUUUUUUACAGUGAUGGAACAGGUGAUUGGACUAACUGUCAAUCGCCAAGCCUGAUAAAUGUAUUAGUUAAAUGUGGUUAACUAAUGAUAUUCAGUAUUAAAGUCAUGUUCUUAGGUAUAAUGAUGAAUCCACACUGUGACUUAAAACCCGUUGAUUUUGUGUUGUUUGGAAGUCUGGAAUUUAACGGCAGUUUAUUCUUAUGAGAGACUAUGAGUGAAACAUCUUCAGGGAAACCAGCUUUACUUUGUGGUUGUAGUUCUCAGGGAGGUCGUCAUUAGCAUCAACGCUUUGUGUGUUUGUAACAAGCAAGAUGAGAAACACAAAAGAGCAUCACGAUGUAAAGACACACUGUAGAUUAUUGAUGUAAUAUUUGAGCCUCUUCUUCUCUGUCUCCUCUCACA
ensembl:lncRNA